rnacentral:rRNA from 1 species
GAUGAACGCUGGCGGCGUGCCUAAUACAUGCAAGUCGAGCGAACAGACGAGGAGCUUGCUCCUCUGACGUUAGCGGCGGACGGGUGAGUAACACGUGGAUAACCUACCUAUAAGACUGGGAUAACUUCGGGAAACCGGAGCUAAUACCGGAUAAUAUAUUGAACCGCAUGGUUCAAUAGUGAAAGACGGUUUUGCUGUCACUUAUAGAUGGAUCCGCGCCGCAUUAGCGAGUUGGUAAGGUAACGGCUUACCAAGGCGACGAUGCGUAGCCGACCUGAGAGGGUGAACGGCCACAGUGGAACUGAGACACGGUCCAGACUCCUACGGGAGGCAGCAGUAGGGAAUCUUCCGCAAUGGGCGAAAGCCUGACGGAGCAACGCCGCGUGAGUGAUGAAGGUCUUCGGGUCGUAAAACUCUGUUAUUAGGGAAGAACAAAUGUGUAAGUAACGAUGCACGUCUUGACGGUACCGAAUCAGAAAGCCACGGCUAACUACGUG